AUACCUUUCUCGGCCUUUUGGCUAAGAUCAAGUGUAGUAUCUGUUCUUAUCAGUUUAAUAUCUGAUACGUGAAUCAAUGGUUCACAUGAUAUUAAAUUAAUUUUUUUAAGGGAUGAGUCCACUACAAUAGCUUGUUAUUGGGGCUCACAAGUGUCAUCUUUGUGUUGCACUAUAGCAAAGCUUGACGCACCCUAC